rnacentral:hammerhead_ribozyme from 1 species
AGCCGAAACAGUGGGGGUUCCCACUGUCUGCCGGGGAUGGCCGCCCGGCACUGACGAGGCAGGCCGAA